rnacentral:lncRNA from 1 species
AAAAGAAAAAGAAAAUUGAAAGGGAAUGAGAACGUGAGAUUAGGGUCAGAGGAGUUGUCCUCUUCAUCUUCUCAAACAGAAUCGUCUUCUUCCUCUCAAUAUUCAGCGUCGCCGUGGAAUCUUACGGCCACCACGCUCGCGACCGUUUUUUUUCUUCAAUCAAUUCAACCUUUCCACCGUAUAAAGCAGUGGCGCCUCCGUCUCUGCUCAUCUUUCUCAGCUCCGCUCUGUCUCUAUCGAUCUCGUUCCGAUAAACCAACACAGCACCGCCGUUUGUUUUUCUUCUAUUCGAUUUUGCAACAGACAGUCCUCUGA